rnacentral:rRNA from 1 species
UGCCAGCCGCCGCGGUAAUACGGAGGGGGUUAGCGUUGUUCGGAAUCACUGGGCGUAAAGCGCACGUAGGCUGACUGGUCAGUUGGGGGUGAAAUCCCGGGGCUCAACCUCGGAACUGCCUUCAAUACUGCCAGUCUUGAGUCCGAGAGAGGUGAGUGGAAUUCCUAGUGUAGAGGUGAAAUUCGUAGAUAUUAGGAAGAACACCAGUGGCGAAGGCGGCUCCCUGGCCAAAGACUGACGCUCAUGUGCGAAAGUGUGGGUAGCGAACAGGAUUAGAUA